CAUUGUGCUAGGUGCUGUGCGAACACAGAACUUACCUUCUCAAUAGUUUGAUUUCAUCCUCUUGAGAGAGAAUGUUAAGAACUUACAUUUUAAUUGUUUUUUUUCCUAUUAGUGUGUAAGUGAACAGAAAUAAAGGAGUAAACUAGAAAGGAGCAGUUCUGGAUCUAGGGUGGGAGCCACAAAGGCACUGAAAAGCUAGGUGCCGUGAGGCUCAGCACCACAACAUGUAAGUUCUUUUAUGGAUCCCACCCUCAUGGAACUCCACAGACACCCUACCUUGGGGAAGAUAGGAAAGAACACUGUGGACAUCAGUCAGAUGUAAUUACAGCCAAAAAAUGUCUAAUGCAAUGUUAAGAUCGUGCAAUUAAAAUAAAGCCAGGAACUGGGAAUGUUUGGGUGUUCUCACACUACCUAGACUAUA